rnacentral:lncRNA from 1 species
CAGCACAGGAAGAGGAGGGCACGACUGAAAUAAAAUCAGUGCCAGUGCAGUAGUGAAUGAAUGAAGCCACCACACAAUUUUCUUGUGUGGGCAGCAAAGCCUGAAAGCAGUGGAAAGCAGGCUGGAUUUGCAUGAGGAUACCAGGCAGGACAGCACUAGAGGCAAGACCUAAUAACCUUAGCAAGCCAAAAGAUGUGCAAGCUUAGUUUGCAUUUUUAUUUCACUUUGAUGCCUCCCCUCUUUUUAUUUCCCAUGCACCUAUGAUGAUUAAUAUCAAAGGGUAUUAUUGCACCUCUUCCUCCUGACAUUCAAACCAAGCAAUUUCAGUGCCUGUCAGUCAAAAAUAAGGAAGGGCAGGAGGUGAGGUCAGCUCUCCCUCAGAUCCAAGCUCUUUUUCUAUUUACAUUAAUACAAGGAAGAGCUGAACAUGCAGAGAACACACAGGAAAUGUCAUCUCUGUUCACAGACUUUUGCAUUAAAGGAUUUCCAAAGACAGCAGGAAAUUUAUGGCUCCGUUCUAUAGAGAGGAAACCCGAGGAUCUUGUGAGUUGGUGGUGGGCACCCAGCUGUGGGAGACAGAAUCCACCUUCCCCUCCUCGUCAUCCCUCCAGAGAACAAAUGCUGCUCACAUCACCCCGAGUAACUGAGCCCUUAAAGCCUGAGAGCCCAUUUGCAGAGCCAAAUUGCUUGACGGUGUCUCAGCAAGUCUAAAACAGCCGCUGUAUCUCUUGGUGAGUUUGGAAGAUGUCAGCAUAACAUACACUCUUCUCUAUUCCCUGCAGUGCACGGCUUUGGGAGAAGAAUUGCAUGCAAUUCUGCAGACACUAAACUUAAUUCCUUGCUCCCACCCUGUGAACAGGUAUUUUGGAGUUGUACACGGUUUGGUGCUGGGCCAGAGCAAAAGAAGCCGAAUGAUUCACGAGAGAAUCACUCUGGGAGACCUUUGCUCUCCUGCUGCAGACCAGGACAGGAGCACCCUGACUGCUGGCAAGUUCUCCAAAAGGUCACUAAAAAGGGUUUCCAGUGAUUAAUACAUAUAUAUUUAAGGCUAAGUCUCCUGGUGCCAGGCAUUACCUGACCUCAGGUGUCACAAGAGCAGUGGCUUUGCUUUCCCUCACCCCAAGAGGUGCUGAGCCCUGGGCUGGCAGGGGGUGACAGCAGGUUUCCCUCCCACAGGACCCUGGCACGAGGAGGAACCGCUUCUCUAAAGGUUGCAGUAAAGCACCUGUAGCUGCGUUUGAUUAAAAGUUGUAUUAGUGCUUAGCUCUUGCGUGGCGUUUGCCAUCCUGAGACUUGAAGUGAUCAACGCAAUCAAACCCUGCUUAGCGCGCGAGGAAGCGAUUGGCUUAAGGUCAUGCAGAGCCUCAGGGGAGGACAAGGAUUAGACCAAGCUCUUUGGCUGAAAAUACCACGGAAAAUGUUCCUCUCCUUCCCCUCUCAAGUUUUUCCUUCUAAUCCUGCUUCUCUGGGUCUGCAGUCGGGAGGGGACUCUUCUGUGUAACCCUCCCCAGCUUCCUGCUAAUGCACUGAUGUAAUCACGGUGGUGAAUGGCUUUUUGGAUCUUUCCUUCUGAUCUGAGAGGCGUUUCUGCUGUGCACCCCCCAGGCCUAAGGCAGUAGGCGAGAGUCAGGGACAGACAAUUCUCCCAAACCUCCAAGGUCAGGGGCAGACCGGACAGGACAGGGGACGUUCAGCUCCUUCCUUGUAGCACAGCGACUUGGAACAACUGAAGCAAAAAGCCACCCCAUCCCACCAUCAGCAAGAAACUACAUGGAAAGACUCACGUUCAUCAACUUCUCCGUCUUUAAAUUAAGAGCAGGGGGUCCUCAACUGCAUCUUUACCAUGGUGUGCACCUUCUCUGAAGGCAGGGGGGCAGCCAAUGCUCUCUGGGCUUCCAGCACCUCCUCUGCAAGAUGCUUCUUGGUUUAGAAGACGCUUCCCUUGGUGACCUGGGACCCCAAAGUGACCUGGUGCUCCCCAGAAUCAAAGCACACUGAAGCAGCACCUGGUCCUGGUGAGGAGCAGCACUCACUGAGGCACAGCUUCAGUUAAAGAAAAGAACAGGACGAGCACCACUGCUUGUCCCGUGGUAUCGGUUGCAGAGCUGCAGCUCUUUUCUCUGCUUGACAUUGAACUUGGGACAGAGCUGAAAGCACAAAUCUUCCCCUGAUGGGAGAACCAAUUAGUGCCUUUCAGCUCACUUGACUCCUCCAUGUUAGGCAGAUGGGAUCACAUUCCCUAGAAACUGAAGUACUUCUACUUGACAUCAGAAAACGUUCUCAGCUACAGCAAAACCCAUCCUUCCCAUGACCCUAGCAUGUUGCCAGCUUACUCCAGCUGAGAAGUUGGUCUAUUGCAUACAUUACUUACAAAACAUGGGUUCUUUGGUUUAUAAGCUCAAGAAUCAAAUCAAAGUGAAUCACGGCGUUAGGUACAGUUUCAUUGUUUUCCCCACAUGCUGCCUUCCCUAUGAAAAGUUUAAGGCAACGCUCAUUUAAAAUAUCUCCCUCUAUUAAGAUCACUCUCUGCUGUGACAAGGGAGCAGAAUCUUAAGAGGUACAUUGCAUAAUGUGCUCCACAAAGAACGAGUACAAUGCAUACAGAAAGAGCAGAAGUUGUUUGCACUUCGAGGGCUUCAGAAGUAUGCAGCAAGUGAUGGAAAACCACUUUUGGUACGGAACCUCCUCAGCUCUAGAUGGCAAGUAGCAUCGUGUAUUCUUAGCAGCGGUUUAAGUUAGAAACUGGAAAGAAAAAGAAACAAAAAUGCAAAGAUUGAGUUUUUCUGACAAUUCUCCUGACACCCUGGCUGGUAUAAGGUGUGACAGCAGCUUCGCAGUGGAUGCUACAAGCUCCUGUCACAGGAUGGCUCAUCGCAGCUCUUUAAACCCAUUCAUUGCUGAGAUUUCAGCACAAGAUUUGGAGGCAGGAAUGCCUCCAUGUAGGAAAUCUCAGGAAUGACUGCAGUGAGCCAGAACUGUGAGCCAGGACAAAGCUUAGAUGCUGCUUGUAUCCCUGUUAAUGACUGCAGGGGAUGUGCCAAUAAACCUUUUGCAAAAGAAACGAGAUAGCUUCCA